rnacentral:rRNA from 1 species
GGCAGCGCCAUUACAGUCUUGUAGCCUGAUCAUGCCAGCUCUCAGAAGGUAAACAAAGCUAGGCCUCGCCAGUACUCAGAUGGGAGACUUCUAAGGUAUACCAGGUUGUUGCUGUAA